rnacentral:rRNA from 1 species
GACGAACGCUGGCGGCGUGCUUAAUACAUGCAAGUCGAGCGAACAGACGAGGAGCUUGCUCCUCUGACGUUAGCGGCGGACGGGUGAGUAACACGUGGAUAACCUCCCUAUCAUACUGGUAUAACCUCGGGAAACCGGCUCUAAUACCGUAUAAUAUAUUGAUCCGCAUGGUUCAAUAGUGAAAUUCGGCUUUGCUGUCUCUUAUAGCUGGAUCCGGGCCGCAUUAGCUAGUUGGUAAGUUAACGGCCUACCAAGGCGACGAUGCGUGACCGACGUGAGAGAGUGAUCGGCCACCCUGGAGGUGGGACACGGACCAGACUCCUGCGGGAGGCAGCAGUAGGGAAUGGUCCGCAGUGGGCGAAAGCAUGGCGGAGCGAGGCGGAGUGAGAGAUAGAGGUCUUCCGAGCGUAAAGAUCUGUUUUUAGGGAAGAACAACUGUGUAAGUAGAUAUGGAGGUCUUGACGGUACCGAGUAAGGAAGCCGCGGCUAACUACGUG